UAGGGAAUCUUCGGCAAUGGACGGAAGUCUGACCGAGCAACGCCGCGUGAGUGAAGAAGGUUUUCGGAUCGUAAAGCUCUGUUGUAAGAGAAGAACGAGUGUGAGAGUGGAAAGUUCACACUGUGACGGUAUCUUACCAGAAAGGGACGGCUAACUACGUGCCAGCAGCCGCGGUAAUACGUAGGUCCCGAGCGUUGUCCGGAUUUAUUGGGCGUAAAGCGAGCGCAGGCGGUUAGAUAAGUCUGAAGUUAAAGGCUGUGGCUUAACCAUAGUAGGCUUUGGAAACUGUUUAACUUGAGUGCAAGAGGGGAGAGUGGAAUUCCAUGUGUAGCGGUGAAAUGCGUAGAUAUAUGGAGGAACACCGGUGGCGAAAGCGGCUCUCUGGCUUGUAACUGACGCUGAGGCUCGAAAGCGUGGGGAGCAAACAGGAUUAGAUACCCUGGUAGUCCACGCUGUAAACGAUGAGUGCUAGGAUGUUAGACCCUUUCCGGGGUUUAGUGCCGUAGCUAACGCAUUAAGCACUCCGCCUGGGGAGUACGACCGCAGUUG
rnacentral:rRNA from 1 species